rnacentral:rRNA from 1 species
UACGUAGGGGGCUAGCGUUGUCCGGAUUUAUUGGGCGUAAAGAGCGUGUAGGCGGCCAAGUAGGUCCGUUGUGAAAACUGGAGGCUUAACCUCCAGCUGUCGAUGGAAACCAUUUGGCUAGAGUCCGGAAGAGGAGAGUGGAAUUCCUGGUGUAGCGGUGAAAUGCGCAGAUAUCAGGAAGAACACCCGUGGCGAAGGCGGCUCUCUGGGGCGGUACUGACGCUGAGACGCGAAAGCGUGGGGAGCGAACAGG